GAUGAACGCUGGCGGCGUGCCUAAUACAUGCAAGUCGAGCGAACAGACGAGGAGCUUGCUCCCCUGACGUUAGCGGCGGACGGGUGAGUAACACGUGGAUAACCUACCUAUAAGACUGGGAUAACUUCGGGAAACCGGAGCUAAUACCGGAUAAUAUAUUGAACCGCAUGGUUCAAUAGUGAAAGACGGUUUUGCUGUCACUUAUAGAUGGAUCCGCGCCCCAUUAGCUAGUUGGUAAGGUAACGGCUUACCAAGGCAACGAUGCGUAGCCCACCUGAGAGGGUGAUUGGCCACCUGGGAACUGAGACACGUUCCAGACUCCUACGGGGGGCAGCAGUACGGAAUCUUCCGCGAUGGGCGAAAGCCUGACGGAGCAACGCCGGGUGAGUGCUGAAGGUCUUCGGAUCGUAAAACUCUGUUAUUAGGGAAGAACAAAUGUGUAAGUAACUAUGCACGUCUUGACGGUACCUAAUCAGAAAGCCACGGCUAACUACGUG
rnacentral:rRNA from 1 species